CAGAUACAGUAUUAGGGACCACUAAGGUCUAUAAAAAAGAGACUUCAGAUACAGUAUUAGGGACCACUAGGUCUAUAUAAAGAGACUUCAGAUACAGUAUUAGGGACCACUGAGGUCUAUAUUAAGAGACUUCAGAUACAGUAUUAGGGACCAAUAAGGUCUAUAUAAAAGAGACUUCAGAUACAGUAUUAGGGACCAAUAAGGUCUAUAUAAAAGACUUCAGAUACAGUAUUAGGGACCACUAAGGUCUAUAUAAAAGAGACUUCAGAUAAGUAUUAGGG